rnacentral:rRNA from 1 species
UUUAAUGAGAGUUUGAUCCUGGCUCAGGACGAACGCUGGCGGCGUGCCUAAUACAUGCAAGUAGAACGCUGAAGGAGGAGCUUGCUUCUCUGGAUGAGUUGCGAACGGGUGAGUAACGCGUAGGUAACCUGCCUGGUAGCGGGGGAUAACUAUUGGAAACGAUAGCU